UGAAAUGCGUAGAUAUUAGGAGGAACACCAGUUGCGAAGGCGGCUCUCUGGACUGUAACUGACGCUGAGGCACGAAAGCGUGGGGAGCAAACAGGAUUAGAUACCCUGGUAGUCCACGCUGUAAACGAUGAGUACUAGGUGUCGGGGGUUACCCCCUUCGGUGCCGCAGCUAACGCAUUAAGUACUCCGCCUGGGAAGUACGCUC
rnacentral:rRNA from 1 species